rnacentral:rRNA from 1 species
GGGGAUUAUCCUUUCUGUAAUCGGUAGUUAUCCGCAUAACGUUGCAAGGCCUUAGAGGGGGACCUUCGGGCCUUUUGCCAUCAGAUGUGCCCAGAUGGUAUAGCCUUUUGUUUGGGGUAACGACUCACCAAGGCGACGAUCCCUACUGGUCUGAGAUGGAUGUACCAGCCACACUGGAACUGAGACACGGUCCAGACUCCUACGGGAGGCACAGUGGGGAAUAUUGCACAAAUGGGCGCAAGCCUGAUGCAGCCAUGCCGCGUGUAUGAAGAAGGCCUUCGGGUUGUAAAGUACUUUCAGCGGGGAGGAAGGUGUUGUGGUUAAUAACCGCAGCAAUUGACGUUACCCGCAGAAGAAGCACCGGCUAACUCCGUGCCAGCACCCGGUAAUACGGAGGGUGCAAGCGUUAAUCGGAAUUACUGGGCGUAAAGCGCACGCAGGCGGUCUGUUAAGUCAGAUGUGAAAUCCCCGGGCUCAACCUGGGAACUGCAUCUGAUACUGGCAGGCUUGAGUCUCGUAGAGGGGGGUAGAAUUCCAGGUGUAGCGGUGAAAUGCGUAGAGAUCUGGAGGAAUACCGGUGGCGAAGGCGGCCCCCUGGACGAAGACUGACGCUCAGGUGCGAAAGCGUGGGGAGCAAACAGGAUUAGAUACCCUGGUAGUCCACGCCGUAAACGAUGUCGACUUGGAGGUUGUGCCCUUGAGGCGUGGCUUCCGGAGCUAACGCGUUAAGUCGACCGCCUGGGGAGUA